rnacentral:rRNA from 1 species
CCUACGGGAGGCAGCAGUGGGGAAUAUUGCACAAUGGGGGAAACCCUGAUGCAGCGACGCCGCGUGAGUGAAGAAGUAAUUCGGUAUGUAAAGCUCUAUCAGCAGGGAAGAAAAUGACGGUACCUGAGUAAGCAGCCCCGGCUAACUACGUGCCAGCAGCCGCGGUAAUACGUAGGGGGCAAGCGUUAUCCGGAUUUACUGGGUGUAAAGGGAGCGUAGACGGCAGUGCAAGUCUGGAGUGAAAGGCGGGGGCUCAACCCCCGGACUGCUCUGGAAACUGUACGGCUGGAGUGCAGGAGAGGUAAGUGGAAUUCCUAGUGUAGCGGUGAAAUGCGUAGAUAUUAGGAGGAAUACCAGUGGCGAAGGCGGCUUACUGGACUGUAACUGACGUUGAGGCUCGAAAGCGUGGGGAGCAAACAGGAUUAGAUACCCCUGUAGUC